UUAUUUAAUCAUAAUAUUUUAAAAAGGCAUGCAAAAAUAUUCCCUUAGUCGGAAAAUUAGACCCUUUUAGACUAGUUAGUCGGCAAAUGUCGACCCUUUUGUUAUAGGUUAGUCGGUAAUCUAGACAGUCGGCAAAUGUCGCAAUGGCAGUCGGCAAAUUUUGGAAAAAGAGGACCUUUUUUUUUUUUUUUAUCUUUUGUUGGCAAAAUGUAAUGGCGGCACCACCCCCCCCCCCCUCACGUGACACCUACUCGCGCCGGCCUUGAUUAUUCCAUCAAAUGGGAGACUAAUUUCAAUGCUCAAAACUCUGAAGCGAUCAGUCGUGUUUUGUUGUGUGGAUAAAUUUAAGAAGUUGUAAACCUUUAAAUUUAUCUUAUUGAUUAUUUAUUAUAUAAUUAAAUUAAUUAAAAUGAGUAAAUCAGUUGAAUAUGUCUCCAUUGUAAUGAUGAGGGAACUUCUUAAUGUUCAAAAAGAAACCAUAAUGUCGUUUUUCUAAGAAACAGUUAAAGACUUUAAUCUAAAAGUUGAAGCUCUGCAACAAAAUAUUAACGGCUUAAGUCAUGAACUUCGUGAAAUAAAAACUGGUAUGAAUUUUGUUGGUGACCUGUGUGAAGAAAAAAUGAAGAUGCACGAAGAAAAAGUUAAACAAGAAGAUAGAACUACCAGCUAAAUGGAAGCGGAAGACAUCAAUGAUGUUAGAUGAACAUACAGUUGACGAACGUGACGAAUCUAAAGCUUUGGAACACUACAGAAUUCACACUUACAAUGCGGUGAUAGAUCAGGUAGUUCAAAGUCUUGAGUCACGUUUCACUUCACAUCGACAAUUAUAUAUGUAAAUGGCAUGUUUUGAUACUUCAAACUUUGGUGAUAUUGCCAUUUCGGGAAUUCCUGAAAACAGUUUUUACAGCAUUUUCAAAUUUUUACCAGAUGCCGACGUUGAUGAAAUAAAGACCUAACUGUUGUCAUUCGAUACUAACUAUGAGAUUUUGAAAUUGUCUUUACCCUUAACGACAACAUUGCGAGAGACUGCAGAUCAAAAGGGUGACGUAGAAGAACAGCGCUGUUUUCAGCAUACUAAUGGAGCAUGUGAAUUGUGUCCAUCUUGUGUGUUACGAAUUUUUGCUGCAUAUAGACUCAACGAUAAAACCUAUCUUCGUCCUCUGAAUCGAGCAAACUGUUUAAAGAAUAGUUAUUGCUAUACUUUACGCGUCACUUGUACUUUUUUAAUUCAAUAUAAUUUUAUUUAUCUGUGAUUUAGCUGCUCCUUUUAAGACUUAUUUUUAGAAAGUUGCAGACCGGGGAGUCUUUGCGAUAUAUGUAUGGUCGAGAGGGCCCUUGAUUAUUUUCCACUGAUCUCAAAAUAAUAACUAUUUAUUUUGAGUUAUUAUUUUGAGAUCAGUGUUAUUUUCAUGGCCGGUAGUAUAUAUACAUUCAGUCCGCCACUGCUGGACAUGGAUAAAGAUGGGCCUGUAUAUGUUAAAUGGUAAAGAUGGGCCUGUAUGUUAUCCUUAUUACUUUUAUUUUUAUCUUUUUUGUUUGUUUGUUGCGGUCGCUCUCCGAGAUUUAGCUCUGCUAUAAGAGAGUGAACCAUCCAGAAUAUUGAGUUUAAUCUAUUUAAUUUUUUUAUAUUUCCAUAUUUCUGGUAAAUAUACUGUUGUUGUUGUUGUUUUUGUUAUAAAUUAUAAGAAGUUAUAAAUUAUGAGAAAUUAUUCACGGAGAUUUGGUUUUAAUUUAUAAUAUAAAUUACAAUUCAUUAAAUUAAUUUACAAUUAAUAUUAAAUUUACAAUUAAUAGCAAUAAUGUUUAGACCUGGUAGUAAUUUUCUAUACGUGCCACCACUCGAAAUAAUGAAAAAAGUUUUUCGUAGCAGAGGGUAGUUUCGAUCUACCGACCUCUGGGUUAUGGGCCCAGCACGCUUCCUCUGCGCCACUCUGCUGAUUAAUUCAAGGAAUAAAAUAAAUUCAUAUACAAAAAUAAAUGCUAGUCUACUGUAUAUUUUUUAUGUCAGAUUCUGUUUAUAUUUAUGUCAGAAAGUAUUGAAGUAUUAACUUUUGAUUAAUAUGCGUAAAAAAAUAUCAAACUUUUUGACAGCUAUAAUUUAUCUAAGGCACAAUUAGUUUCUAAAAUUUAAUAUUUGAAAUUUCAACAAUCUUGUUGAUAUAAAUGGUUAAUUUCUGUUACGGUGCUACUUAUUCAUUUUUUGAAGAAGUAGAAGAAGCUUUUCUAAAGUUUGCAAAGAUAACUUCGAAUUAAUCGGCAUACAAGAAGAACAGUAUGAAUCAAACAUGUUUUGAUCAUGUUUAACAUAAUCGCCUAUUUUAGAGUUGGUGGUGGGCCUAUGGUAAAGAUUUAACACAUCCUACUUGCUGAAACAAUAACCUGCAAGCAAAGUGUGCGUGGGGAAAAUCUCCAAAAAUUAAUGAAUAUUCCCUCCGUGUAUUAAGCACCUACGAAUAUGUUUGCAAGUAUUAUGGUGUUGGUAUAAAUAGCUUAGCAACUCAAAGAAAUUUUAAAAGAGCCAGCUCAAAGGAAUUUUAAAAAAGCUCUACACUUAAAAAAAUGUCUUGUUCCAGCAAUAAAGUCGUAUAUGAAAGAUUUAAAAAGCUUCAUCAACUCACAACAACAGACUCUAGAUUCCAAUAUUAGACUAAAUUUAGACCUAAAAGGUUGUGACAAAACCCUGAAGGUUUAAUCAAAAAAAAAUGUGUUUUGAGUUUAUAUUGAAAAUAUGUUACUAUUGAAAAAGUUUAAUAAAUUGCAUUUGCAUGCAUUUACUUGUAUAUUCUAGUUCAAAAAAGUUUAUUAUAUAUUAGUUAGAUUACU